UUAGAAACUUGUCAAGGGAGAAAGACGAAGUAGAUGGUUCUAGUAUUUUCAUGUAUGGUGAAGCUUGGGACUUUGGUGAAGUGGCAAGCAAUGGUCGUGGCAUAAAUGCAUCACAGUUCAAUCUAGCGGGAAGUGGAAUUGGAAGCUUUAAUGAUCGAAUUCGGGAUGCAUUGCUUGGUGGAUCUCCAUUUGGUCAUCCUCUUCAACAAGGAUUUCUCACAGGAUUAUCUUUGCAAGUAAUG